GACGAACGCUGGCGGCGUGCUUAACACAUGCAAGUCGAACGCUGAAGCUCAGCUUGCUGGGUGGAUGAGUGGCGAACGGGUGAGUAACACGUGAGUAACCUGCCCUCUUCUUUGGGAUAACGCCCGGAAACGGGUGCUAAUACUGUAUAUUCACUGAUUCUCGCAUGGGGGUUGGUGGAAAGGUUUUUUCUGGUGGGGGAUGGGCUCGCGGCCUAUCAGCUUGUUGGUGGGGUGAUGGCCUACCAAGGCUUUGACGGGUAGCCGGCCUGAGAGGGUGACCGGUCACAUUGGGACUGAGAUACGGCCCAGACUCCUACGGGAGGCAGCAGUGGGGAAUAUUGCACAAUGGGCGAAAGCCUGAUGCAGCGACGCCGCGUGAGGGAUGGAGGCCUUCGGGUUGUAAACCUCUUUCGCUCAUGGUCAAGCCGCAGCUUUGGGUUGUGGUGAGGGUAGUGGGUAAAGAAGCGCCGGCUAACUACGUG
rnacentral:rRNA from 1 species